rnacentral:rRNA from 1 species
GAACGAAGGCUGGCGGCAUGCCUAACACAUGCAAGUCGAACGAGACCUUCGGGUCUAGUGGCGCACGGGUGCGUAACGCGUGGGAACCUGCCCUUAGGUUCGGAAUAACUCCCCGAAAGGGGUGCUAAUACCGGAUAAUGUCUUCGGACCAAAGAUUUAUCGCCUUUGGAUGGGCCCGCGUUGGAUUAGCUAGUUGGUAGGGUAAAAGCCUACCAAGGCGACGAUCCAUAGCUGGUCUGAGAGGAUGAUCAGCCACACUGGGACUGAGACACGGCCCAGACUCCUACGGGAGGCAGCAGUGGGGAAUAUUGGACAAUGGGCGAAAGCCUGAUCCAGCAAUGCCGCGUGAGUGAUGAAGGCCUUAGGGUUGUAAAGCUCUUUUACCCGGGAUGAUAAUGACAGUACCGGGAGAAUAAGCUCCGGCUAACUCCGUG